GCAACUCUAACAUAGUCAAUUGGCUAGCAAUCAGAGAAGCCAUUGCUGACUAAGUUAGCACUUAAAUGAACUGUUUUUUAAUCUGAAAUAUAGAUCAUAACAAAUCUAAAAUGUAGGGUGCUUCAAGAAUGCCACACGCCCACUUCACACCCAGAAGUGAAAAUGCCACGGCCAAACCCAUGUUAGGUCAAUAUUCAUGCAAAAAGUUACCAUGAUAUCAUGCAAUAGACAACCAACACAAAUAAAUGGCACCUGUUAUUUACUAAAACAAAAUUCAGAAAGCUUUAAACCACCUCAAUUUAAAAUAAGAAACACAAACAAUUUUCUACCACCUAGCUGUCAGCAGUACUCAAGGCCAGAUAGGCAAUAAACUCAGUCCAUUGCAAAUUCUUCACUGCACUGACACCCUUUUGGUGCUUCUACUUCUUGUAGCUCUUUGAACUUAACUAAAAAACUUCUAUUUGUCCUCUCCAAAUU
rnacentral:misc_RNA from 1 species